UGGGAAAUAUUGCACAAUGGGCGCAAGCCUGAUGCAGCAACGCCGCGUGAACGAUGAAGGUCUUCGGAUCGUAAAGUUCUGUUGCAGGGGAAGAUAAUGACGGUACCCUGUGAGGAAGCCCCGGCUAACUACGUGCCAGCAGCCGCGGUAAUACGUAGGGGGCUAGCGUUAUCCGGAUUUACUGGGCGUAAAGGGUGCGUAGGUGGUCUUUCAAGUCGGUGGUUAAAGGCUACGGCUCAACCGUAGUUAGCCUCCGAAACUGGAAGACUUGAGUGCAGGAGAGGAAAGUGGAAUUCCCAGUGUAGCGGUGAAAUGCGUAGAUAUUGGGAGGAACACCAGUAGCGAAGGCGGCUUUCUGGACUGCAACUGACACUGAGGCACGAAAGCGUGGGUAGCAAACAGG
rnacentral:rRNA from 1 species